GCCUUGGUGGUGUAAUGGUUAUCAUGGGGCCCUGUCGAGGCCCCGAUCCGGGUUCAAUCCCCGGCCAGGGCG
rnacentral:tRNA from 1 species